rnacentral:tRNA from 1 species
GAGGAUGGCUCAGUGGUGAAGAGCACUGGAUGCUCUUCCAGAGGUCCUGGGUUUGAUUCCCAGCAACCCCA